rnacentral:lncRNA from 1 species
CUGGGCACCAGAUGCUUCGUUGUAAAUAGGAAUAAUAAUUACUUCCAGAAGGUGAACAUAUGUGGCUUUCAUGAGGGCGUUAUGACCUCUGUGAGGGCUUUCCUAUAGGCUUCGAGGCUUAGGAGGGAACAGCCACCCACCCGGGCUGUUGGGACUGGAGUUUCCACUCUAGAAUCUGGUCCUGGGCUUUCUGUGUCGCCCUCCCGCUGUUAGAUAGCCUUGUGAACAGACAGUACCAGCUGAGAGCUUUGAGUCAGGCCCAUCACCUGUCCACAACCCUUCUUAGGAAGAACGGGUAUAAAGACUGUGUGGACUACUGUGAUAUGAACCAGAAGCUUGGGAAUUCUGUCCGCAGCCGCAGGGGCUUGUGGGGGGAAAGCAGAGGCACAGUUUGAGCAUUGGCCACUUCCUGUCCCCCUUCUCUUGGCCUCUGUGAGCCCAAGUCUAUGCUUUCAUUCUAUCUGCUGGAGACCUGAUUUUUGAAUUGGGGGCUACCCCACUCAUCAUUGCCACAUCUGGGGGCCUCACUCAAGCUGUCCUACCUGCCACGGGGACCAUCUCCUGCUCCUGACUUCUCCUCUGUCUGUCUCAGCCCUCAGGCCCCUUCCUGGCAGUAGCCACUUUGUUGCUGUUGUAGAAAUUAUGUUGCCUGCUUGCUUUGUUGUUAUUGUUUUUAUUAAUUAGAGUCUCAGAAACUGCACGCCUUAAAUCCCAGCACUCAGGAGACAGAGGCAGGUAGAUCUCUGUGAGUUCGAAGCCAGCCUGGUCUACAGAGAGCAAGUUCCAAAGACAGCCAGGGCUGCACAAAGAAACUCUGACC